CGGUGGGAAAAAGAGAAAGAAGGCUGACCAUCACACAUCAGACUGGUAGAUGGGUUAAGUCCUCUCCGACCCAGAGACUCCAUAGAAUGACUACAAACUCCACAAGAAAAAGGACUGCUUCGGUCUUGGCUACGCUAGAAAUCCUGACCCCUGGCACAAGAUUGGAUGAAGAAGGGAUGGAAGAGAAGUACAGAGUUAAUUUCUCGUCCUUGAGGAUCAAAAAGCACACGUACCAUUGCCCCAUGCCUGAGGCGUCAGCCCAGGUUGAACUCCCUUCCACAGUGGUGCUGGCGGUCCCAUCAUUUCCCAGCUGUUCAACCUCAGAGAGUCAGCAGGCGGUCAGGUACCACGGCUAAUAGAACCCGUAGUAAUGGAAACUCCAAAAGAAUACCGGUGUGGACCGUGAGUGACCUCAGAAGACAUCUUUCACUAUUUCCUGAUUCUGGAAUUCUAGUCACUCCCCCAUUCCCAACAAACUAUUGAUUCCACACUCUCCUCCAAUUCUUGCCACUGUAGAAGCCCCGCCCCCUUCUGUUCUUUGCUUUUUGAGCCACAAAAGGACAUGCCAGGUGGCUCUCUGCCCACAGCUCAGAGGAGGGAACGAGGACCCAGGGCUCUGGCUUGAGGAAUGGGAGAGUCAUUUGCUCUUCUUCGAGGCUCUUCUUCUUAAGGAUCUCCUGCAUCCUGCACUGAGACAUUUGCCAUAGCAGAGGAAGCAAUGAGACCUCAAGUCCCAAAAUGUGGGUUGCAGUGCCAGCUGUGUGACUUGGACCAUGUACCAGCUGUGUGACUUGGGAGGUUAAGUCACUUCACCUCUCUAAUUCUCAGUUUCCUGGUCUAUAAAAUGAAGAUGAUAAUAUCCCACAUCUCUCACGCACUGUUGUGAAGGAGUUUUAAAAUGCAUAUACUUCGGCCAACAAUUCCGCUUAUAGAAAUGUACCCAAGGAAAUACCCGGACAAGUACGCAAAAUGAGUAAGUACAGAGAUGUUCCUGAGACAUUGCUUACAAUACUGAAAAAAUUGAAGCAGUCCUAAUGUCUGUCCAUAUGGAAUUUAAGUAAUUAUAACAUAUCCACAGUUGCGAUAAGUGUAGGCAUUUAAAAUAAUACAGUACAUCUCCAUUUACUGUUAGCAAUUUAUCUUACAGGUGAUAUGAUUAGAUAUGCAAAGAAUAAGUUGGGUAGGCUAUCCAAGACCCUAAGUAUAGUGGCUGAUUCUAAGGGGUGGAACUGAGAGUCUGCGAGAGAAUAUUCAUUCACUGAAUAUCUUUGUGAACUGUUUGAAGUUUUUACCUUGUGCGUGUUCAGCCUGAGAAUUUCUUAAUUAAAAUGAAUAAAAAUUUAAAAUAUGUGUUUGCGUGUGUAUGAAAACUUGUAAGGACACGUCCGUUACCAGUUGUUGUCUUACACUGCAGAUCACAGGGAGUUUUUUUCCCUUUGUUAUGCUUCCCUGAAUUUUCCAAGCUGUUUGCAACAAGCAGCGCAUGAACUUAUAGUAACGAAGUAGAACAAAACAGAACAAUAAAAUACUUUCUGUUUUAGAAAAAGCAAGCCACUACGUCUAAAUUCUUUUGCCUUUAGAAAGCUUCUAGAAAAUAGUUGUGAGAUUAUUAGAUUAGCUGUCUAUUGCUGUAUAACAA